rnacentral:rRNA from 1 species
AUGAUAAAAAAAAAAUCUUACCAAGUGGGCGUUAUGCUACGCUGGCUGGUAGGACCCAUUUGCCAGAUGCACCGUCUCCUCCGAACAACCGCUUCUCGUGGAUGCAUCCGGCAGCGCCACCGCCUCCUCUCCGCCGUCGCUGGCGGCGACCAACCGAUCCGCGACCUCCCGCCGACCACCUGCGCGGUCCCAUGGAACCGCCUCCUCUGCGCCCACAUCUGCCGCUCCCGUCCAGACCUUGCGCUCGCGCUCUACCGCCGCAUGCGCGCGCUCUGCCCCGCGCUCCCUAACACCUACACGCUCCCCCUCGCCCUCCGCGCGGCGACCUCCCCACGAAUCGCGUCCGCCAUCCACGCACACGCCCUCCACCUUAGCUUGCAUGCCCACCCGGACGUCGCCGGCCAGCUCCUCGCCGCCUACGCCAGGCACGGCCGCCCCGACGAGGCCCGCCACGUGUUCGACGCAAUGCCGUCCAAGAGGACCACCAUGUCCUGGAACACGCUCAUCUCCGCUUAUUCGGUCUGCUGCGACCCCGACAGUGCAAUGGCCACGUUCGGGCGCAUGGCCGCCGCCGCUGACGAGGCGCUCCCCGACGCCGUGACGUGGACGACGCUGCUCUCGGCGCACGCGAGGUGCGGCAAGCACCCGGUGGUUCUUGAACUGUUCGGAGACAUGCACCGCAGCGGAUGUGAAGGGAAUGCCGAGUCCGUGGCCGUGGCGCUCUCGGCGUGCCCCUACGCCGGCGACCUCGCGUUGGGGAAAGGGAGGGCGAUACAUGGCUACGGCGUCGCAAAGGGCGUCGUCCGUGGCUACCUGUUCGUCACCAACUCGCUGGUGUGCAUGUACGGCAAGCUGGGGAAGAUGGACGACGCCCGGAAGGUUUUCGGGGAAGCUGGAGAGAAGAACACCGUGACAUGGAACGCCCUCGUCACCAGCUACGCCGCGUCUGGGAUGUGCGACGAAGCGUUGGACGUGCUCGUCCGGAUGGAGCAGCGUGGCGGCAUGGCUGCGCCCAAUGUGGUGAGCUGGAGCGCUGUCAUUGGCGGCUUCGCGUCGUCCGGUGACAAUGAGCGCGCACUGGAGCUGUUCCGGCGGAUGCAACGGCGAUGGCUUUCGCCGAACGUGGUGACCUUAGCCACCGUUCUCUCAGCCUGCGCCGAGCUACUGGCGGUGCGGUUGGGUCGGGAGGUCCAUGCCGGCGCGAUCAGAUCCAUGCUCGACCGGCACUCGCUCGUCGCGAACGGGCUCAUCAACAUGUACGCCAAGUGCGGGAGAGUGGCCUACGCACGCACGGUGUUCGACGGUAUGAAGAGCAGGGACCUGGUCUCCUGGAACUCCAUGUUGGCCAGCUACGGGAUGCACGGCCUGUGCGACGACGCCCUUGCAGUGUUCGCAGACAUGGCCGAAGCUAAGGUCGAUCCUGACGGCGUCACCUUCGUCGCCGUUCUGUCGGCGUGCAGCCACGCAGGGCGCGUGUCGGAGGGCCGCCGUCUGUUUGAUCAGAUGAUACUGGAGCACAGGAUUUCCCCAUCCAUGGAGCACUACACGUGCAUGGUCGACCUCCUGGGCCGUGCCGGCUUGCUCAAGGACGCGUCUGAGCUCAUCGAGACGAUGCCGGUGGGAGCCGACCUGUGCGUGUGGGGAGCGCUGCUCAACUCGUGCAGGAUCCAUGGGGACGCAGCCAUGGCCGAAGCCACCAUCGCGAAGGUUCUGCAGGCCGGCGCGGAGACCACCGGCAACCACACGCUGAUCACGAACCUGUACGCCGCGUGCGGGAUGUGGGACGAGUCCAAGAGGGUGAGGGUGAUGACGAGAGAGGCCGGCUUGAGGAAGAGCCCCGGGCAGAGCUGGAUCGAGGUGAAGAACAAGGUGUUCGCCUUCGUGGCCGGCAGUGUGCCGCCGUCGAUGCCCGGAGCUGAGGAGAUCUUCAGGGUGCUCGACGAUUUGUACAGCGAAAUGGACGACGAGAGACACACCAUGGAGCACGAUCACCACAUUGUAAGCGUUUGA